GAUCCUGGCUCAGGAUGAACGCUAGCUACAGGCUUAACACAUGCAAGUCGAGGGGAAACGAUAGAGAAAGCUUGCUUUUUCUAGGCGUCGACCGGCGCACGGGUGAGUAACGCGUAUCCAACCUGCCCACCACUUGGGGAUAACCUUGCGAAAGUAAGACUAAUACCCAAUGAUAUCUCUAGAAGACAUCUGAAAGGGAUUAAAGAUUUAUCGGUGAUGGAUGGGGAUGCGUCUGAUUAGCUUGUUGGCGGGGUAACGGCCCACCAAGGCUACGAUCAGUAGGGGUUCUGAGAGGAAGGUCCCCCACAUUGGAACUGAGACACGGUCCAAACUCCUACGGGAGGCAGCAGUGAGGAAUAUUGGUCAAUGGGCGAGAGCCUGAACCAGCCAAGUAGCGUGCAGGAUGACGGCCCUAUGGGUUGUAAACUGCUUUUAUAAGGGAAUAAAGUGAGCCUCGUGAGGCUUUUUGCAUGUACCUUAUGAAUAAGGACCGGCUAAUUCCGUG
rnacentral:rRNA from 1 species